GACAGAGGUGCCAAGCGUUAGGCGGAAUCACUGGGCUUAAAGCGUGUGUAGGUGGAAGCGUAAGUACCUUGUGAAAUCCCACGGCUCAACCGUGGAACUGCUUGGUAUACUGCGUUUCUUGAGCCAACUAGGGGCAGCCGGAACAAGCGGUGGAGCGGUGAAAUGCGUAGAUAUCGCUUGGAACGCCGAAGGUGAAAACAGGCUGCUGGGGUUGUGCCGACGCUGAGACACGAAAGCCAGGGGAGCAAACGGG
rnacentral:rRNA from 1 species